rnacentral:rRNA from 1 species
UACGUAGGGUGCGAGCGUUAAUCGGAAUUACUGGGCGUAAAGCGUGCGCAGGCGGCUUUGCAAGACAGAUGUGAAAUCCCCGGGCUUAACCUGGGAACUGCAUUUGUGACUGCAGGGCUGGAGUGCGGCAGAGGGGGAUGGAAUUCCGCGUGUAGCAGUGAAAUGCGUAGAUAUGCGGAGGAACACCGAUGGCGAAGGCAAUCCCCUGGGCCUGCACUGACGCUCAUGCACGAAAGCGUGGGGAGCAAACAGG